AGUGAACGCUGGCGGUAGGCCUAACACAUGCAAGUCGAACGGCAGCACAGUAAGAGCUUGCUCUUACGGGUGGCGAGUGGCGGACGGGUGAGGAAUACAUCGGAAUCUACUUUUUCGUGGGGGUUAACGUAGGGAAACUUACGCUAAUACCGCAUACGACCUACGGGUGAAAGCAGGGGAUCUUCGGACCUUGCGCGAUUGAAUGAGCGGAUGUCGGAUUGGCUAGUUGGGGGGGUAAAGGCCCACCAAGGCGACGAUCCGUAGCUGGUGUGGGAGGAUGGUCAGCCGCACUGGAACUGAGACACGGUCCAGACUCCUACGGGAGGCAGCAGUGUGGAAUAUUGGACAAAGGUCGCAAGCCUGAUCCAGCCAUACCGCGUGGGUGAAGAAGGCCUUCGGGUUGUAAAGCCCUUUUGUUGGGAAAGAAAAGCAGCAGGUUAAUACCCCGCUGUUCUGACGGUACCCAAAGAAUAAGCACCGGCUAACUUCGUG
rnacentral:rRNA from 1 species